GCCUGGGUGGCUCAGUCGGUUAAGCAUCUGACUCUUGGUUUCAACUCAGGUCCUGAUCUCACGGUUUGUGGGUUCGAGUCCCACAUCGGGCU
rnacentral:tRNA from 1 species